rnacentral:misc_RNA from 1 species
GUUUGAUUCAAUUAAUUCAUUUAUUAAUUAUACAAUUAAAAUAGUAAAGAUUUUGAAAGAACAAACUGUGCAUUCCAAAAACUAUCUUCCUCAGUAAAAGAAAAAUAAAACGAAUUAAUGUGGUUUCCAAUUGGCUGUUGUAGUUCUGCUAGGAAAGAGUGAUACUAGCGAUGGAGUUGAAGCAAUGGCAAAUUGGCAUAUCAUAUGUAUGGAACAUUGCAUGCGGCAAGUUGAUUCCUCUGAGAUUUAUUUAAUCAAACGCUUAACGUCUAGCCGAAAGCAUCCCAAGAAAUGUAAUACAGACGCACCACAGUUGCACAAUUAACUAAGAUAUGACCCAGUCCCGAUCCUGUUUGAACUUGAAAGUCAGCUCACCUUUGCUUGUUUGUUGGCAUUGGCAAUAGCAUCUCUUCUUCACUUUCUACAUGUUCCCAAAAACCGUCACAAACAAGACUUUGAGGGUGGUUCAUUUAAUAUUUGAAAUGUUGAAGCAAAAUGGCAUUUACUUGCCGCCUCCCCCAGAAUUGUUUCUGGGAGAGAGUUGUCUCCGUGGGAUUUCACAGAUACUGUUAUGCUUUUGACUUCAUGGGUUUAUUUGUCUUGUAACAAGUUAGCCGAAACUUCAAGCUACACUUUGGUAAGGACUAAAAUAAUGCUUGAAGUGGAGUAAAAUACUAUGAAUCGAUGGCAUUAAUGUCUUUUGUCUUGGUCUUUUUCUCCUCGUUUGCCGCCGCCAAACCUGAUUGCCACUGUUCUCUGCAAGCUAGAUAUGAGAAUGUAAGGCAACUUACAAAAUGCAUAAAACAACAAGGCAAACCAUUGCCUGUAAGCAACUGACCCAAAUUGUUAAAAAAAAGUAGAACAUUUCAAUAGGAAUUUUAAUUUUUUCAUGCCAAACUUACAUGUUAUAACUCACCUCUUUGAUCACAUCGUUCUACUGAGGCAGUUAGUCAGGCAUCCACUCAAACUUAAUUUUUAGGGUGAAAAACGCCACUAUGCAAUCUAAUUUUACAACACAGCAAAAUGGUCACUAAAGUAAUGAACUACAACAUAUAAGGAGCCUAACAAACCCAAAUACAACAUAUUAUGGCAAGACACGGGGGAGAGCCACAACUACUUGGUUGAUCCUAAGUGCCUUUUCAUUUUUUUUUUAUACAUUUUCUUUAUGCUAAUUGCCAGAUAUCUAGACUAGCUGAGUGGAGAUACCUCAAUCAUCUGAGCUAUAUUCACUAGAUUCUGGCAAUAGGGGCACGGCAGCACAGCAAAAUGACUCCUUGUCCUUGAGAAGAAGACAGCUUCCAUCUGAAUUCCACUUCAGAUCAGUUAUGCUAAACUGUGGUAGUGGAUUACUUAUGCAGUAGGCACCUGAAGGAGUCCACAUAUACAAGUGACAGCUGCCAGUACAUAGAACAAGUCGUGUGCAUGUUGGAUCCCAAGCAGCUGCCCGGAUGGGAUCCUUCUGGACCAAUAUGGCAGUUAGCUCAAGAUGAUGUAUGUCCCAUAUCCAGAGAGCAGUUGGCAUGCUAUCAUUGCGAGUACAGAUAUACUGGCUGUCGCUGCUCCAUGACAUGAGGCCAAUUCCUUGUUUAGGGUUUGGUUUGUCAGCGAGAGGCUUCUGGAAAGGCAACGUAAUAGGCACUUCUGUAACCUCAUACCUAACUCUGAAGUGUCCUUCUGCAACAUCAGAAUUGCCUUGGAGAAAUUCAUCACUCAAACAUAGUUCAGACAUAUCAAGAUGCAAUGGCUCGUCCACCUCCUUGAAAACAGCAGCACAACAUGGAGCACGUACAGUAGAUAGGUGCAUAAAUUCAGCGAAAGUUUUCCAGGUCAGGUGGUUCAGCACCCGCAACAUUUGAUCAUAGCUACCCACAGCUAGAAACUGGCCACAGGGAGACCAUGAGACACUUUUUACACCUAGUCCACUUUCAUAUGCUUGAUACUUGAAUAGACACCUCCCAUCCGGGGAAUAGAUUAGAACCUUAUAUUCAAGAGGUGAAUCCCAUAUCACUAUAGCACUAUCAUCCGGUGACCAUUCAAUAUCGGCCAAGUCCAAAGUGUCCACAGCAAAAGUACCCAUUAUCUCCCAGGUAUAACAUGAAAGCAGAUUUAUGUAAUCCUUGCAAUCACGCCUCGUACAAAUUGCAGCAAAUUUUCCAUCUUUAGUGAAAGAAAUCCCCUUAGAAGCAUGUUUUGGCCAUUGCACAUGAACGCAUGCUGUGUUCACAAGUGACCAAACAGUUAAACGCAAUUGAAAAUCUGAAGUGGUGAGUAUGUGCCGACUAUCUGGACUCCACCUAGCAUAAGCAAUGCCGGCAGGACCUUCAUCUAUUUUGCAAGUCCAUUCAGGUUGACUCAACGACCAUGCCUGUAUCAUUGGCCUUUUAUAGAGGCCACAAAGAAUGUAUUCUGAAUCAAGGGCCCAUUCAAUAUAGCUUAUCUUAUCCAAGCAUGAAAACAACUGCACAACCUUAAACGACAACGUAUCACGAAUCACCAGGCGAUAAUCGACGGCGACGGCAAUGUAUCUGGCGUUGGGUGAGAAACAACAGGGACCAGUCUGCUUAUAAGCCUCAGUGAACUCCAUUUUCGUGAUCUCAACAGCAUUCUAAGAAAUCGAAGGCAAAGAAAUCCAUAUGCGAAAGAUUUUCGAUUUCCGAUGCGGAUCUAUCACCCGAGGAGGAGGGGAAU